GACGAUAUUUAUUUAUUGCUCGUAGCUGGUUCGUAGGGAAUGUGCUAAGUGAAAAAGAGCAUAUAAUGACUCAGCAUAUCAUAUUUGUUUUAAAGAAUUGAUUGCUUUGCAUCAUUGCACAAAAAGUAUCAAAAUUCCGAACGUCAGGACCACUGGAAUUUCAGCUCCGGGUUCAAACACAAGAAAACCGUCGCCGCCAGAUGAACACGCAAUCUCACCUUUGUGAGGUACAAACUUGAGGGCGUGAGAGAAUAUUCAGAAGCGCGAGCCGCCCUUGGGGCCGUCUCCGAUGAACUCGUGACCCAGGCCGUUACCGCACUUUCCGCACAGCACCUGUGAGUGGGCGGACAGAGGUCGGCUCAGGUCAGAGGAAGGCCGCGGUGAUGAUUGGAACUACCGACACCACCGGACAGACAGACGGACGGAACAGACUCGGCCACCGGCGGAAGUACCAACUCGACAAGAAGCGCAUGCUUAUCAUUAAUCCACAUUCAAAUUCAUGCUGAAUAAACCGAGCGACAGCUAGUCAACAAGGUUGAUUACCUACCAAUUUAUCAAAACUGCGAUACUCGAAGUCACUAUUUAUUCAGAAGAUUUACAACUAAAUGUCCAUGCAAUAUAAUUUUCAUGAUCGUU